UCUCCUGUUGGUCCUGCUUGGUUAGGGUGUGCGUGAGGCGGAAGACGGAAGAUUCACGGGACGGCGGAGGAGUUUUGAAGCCCCAAAGUUGGAGCCAGACCUGGAGGGGUCUGAAAAGCUUCUGGAGGAAAAAGCGAGCCAAGCUUUCUGCCCUCCCGCAGGGGAUCUAAGGUGGGCCCUGUGGACACUGCCUGAAAAGAAGGCGACCUUCAAGAAUGGAAGGGCCCCUGCCCUACACAUCUCAGCAGAACACCAGCUAUGACUCCCCACUGGGCUUCUAGAUUCCAGAGCCAGGGAGCGGAAUUGCUGACCAGACCAGCAGAGGGAGUGACAGACGUCAUCCCAGUGACCUUGACUUGAGUUUCCUCCUUGGGGGCCUUGGAAUCUGUGCAACAUUGUGAGACCUUCUCAUCAUGUUGUUAUCGUCUAAUGAAAACUCAUUAUAAAAUAUGGAAUUCUGGAUCUUUUGAAUGGCUUCAUUUGUGGUUUUCUUGGGUAAGGGCUGGAGUCAA